GCAGUCGACGACUCUGGUAUUGAUUGGUGCUUGCAUCAUGAUUUACAUUUGAGUGAGUGGCGAACUGGUGAGUAACACGUGGGAAACCUGCCCAGAAGCGGGGGAUAACACCUGGAAACAGAUGCUAAUACCGCAUAACAACUUGGACCGCAUGGUCCGAGUUUGAAAGAUGGCUUCGGCUAUCACUUUUGGAUGGUCCCGCGGCGUAUUAGCUAGAUGGUGGGGUAACGGCUCACCAUGGCAAUGAUACGUAGCCGACCUGAGAGGGUAAUCGGCCACAUUGGGACUGAGACACGGCCCAAACUCCUACGGGAGGCAGCAGUAGGGAAUCUUCCACAAUGGACGAAAGUCUGAUGGAGCAACGCCGCGUGAGUGAAGAAGGGUUUCGGCUCGUAAAACUCUGUUGUUAAAGAAGAACAUAUCUGAGAGUAACUGUUCAGGUAUUGACGGUAUUUAACCAGAAAGCCACGGCUAACUACGUGCCAGCAGCCGCGGUAAUACGUAGGUGGCAAGCGUUGUCCGGAUUUAUUGGGCGUAAAGCGAGCGCAGGCGGUUUUUUAAGUCUGAUGUGAAAGCCUUCGGCUCAACCGAAGAAGUGCAUCGGAAACUGGGAAACUUGAGUGCAGAAGAGGACAGUGGAACUCCAUGUGUAGCGGUGAAAUGCGUAGAUAUAUGGAAGAA
rnacentral:rRNA from 1 species